rnacentral:lncRNA from 1 species
CAAAACGUCCCAACCUCUUUUACUACCCAACGAAAAGGAUUUUACAAAAUACAAUUGCUUUGUAAAUUGUAAUUAUAUCUUCUUCUUUUUUGUUGUCUUGAUAUUCAGAGAGUUCGACUAUUUCAAAUUCGCGCUACGCAAGAAUGGGGAAGCGCCUUAAGAUGUUAAUUAACUUGAAGCCAUGUUCACAGAAGGAGAUGGGCAGCCGGUAGAAAUGAAGCUUCAUUAUAGGAAAUGUUAUCUCCUAUAAUGAAGCUUGGAAAGAGGCAUACAAAAGGGAGCCAGGCAUAAAAUAUUACGUACUCUUUUUUUUAAAAAAAAAUUACAUUUCUUUACUCUUAUAUUUUUGCUUGUUAAUUAAACACUGAUAAUACUCACUAAUCUAGUGGGCUAUGAGUCGUUUAAUUAUUCUUAGCGCAUAUGUACGAGAUUCUUAUUGCACUUAAUUAAUUGCUUUAAUUUACUUAUUGAAUCUUCAUUCUUAUUCAUUUACGAUCUGUCUUUUCUCAUGGAUUCGCCAACGAAGCAUCAAACAUAUUCGAUGAGAUUCAUGGAGCAAUUCUUAGUAUUUUCUUUGUUUUAAUCUGUGUGAACCUUUAUUGAUCGAGUAUAAAAUGUUGUGGCUUAAUUAUUUGUCUAGUUUUUGUCAAAGUACAUGAAAUUUUAUCCUUAUUAGUAAUAUUUUAAAAUAUAAUCUUUCAUUAUUAAAUAUUUAAUUUAUUUGUAUAUCAUCUCACCAUAAUUAAAGUAUUUGUAAUUUUAAAAAAUUAUUAUUAUUGAAAACGGA